AAAUUUAGGUUCCACAAACCAAGGACCUUCAAAGUCCUGAACAGAAUAAAUAUUCUAAUUUCUG
rnacentral:tRNA from 1 species